CAGGGCCCGACGCGGGGCUUGAACUCACAAACCGGGAGAUCAAGACCUGAGCUAAAGUUGGACGCUUAAUCGACUGAGCCACCCAGGCGCCCCCAGAUCAUUAACUUCUAAAAGGGCCGACAAGCUCUUGCGUGCAGACUCAACGGACAGCCUUGUUUCCAGAUGGUUCUGGAAAGCCUCCAGCUGUGAAUCCUGGAAUUCUGUCUACUCAGUUCCUGCCCAGAAGUGAAUGCUCGUGGCCGGGUUGAACAGAGCAGGAAAGGGGCUUGGUGUUCGCACCCCGAUGCCAGAGAUGACCUCGUCCCCUUGAGGACCUGCGCUGCCUGUCUGUGCGUGGGACAGUGGCAGGCGUGCUGGGCCACACGGGAAUCCCACCCGCGACCCCUGGAGGAGACCAGCGACUUACGCAGUGCUGCUCGCAGUGAGCCGUGCAUGGUGUGCUAGGAAACGAUUGCUUCUGAGCGUGUUCGGUGCAGCAGAGGAAGGAGCAAGUUCCAGGGCCAGACAUGUUCGGGAAGCUCGUGCGAAGGUGCAGGGUGUCUCUUUACUCAAGGGCCGAGAGCUCUUAAUCACUUGGGAAGCCUACAGGGGUGAUGGCUCUCGGCCCCAGGCUCCGGAGGCCAGAGCUGGGGACACCCGUCUAUGUGGGGUCCCCCCGGGAGAGAGGGAGCACCAAAUCCUAACCACUAGACCACCGGGGAACUUGGGGUCCCCCCGGAAGAGCUGCCUUCACGAGGGGGUGUCGGUGGAGGGACGCCUGUGUUUCCGCCCCUGGUAGACUGUUCUGUGAGAGAGAAGAUGAGGUUUCUAAAAAGGACUUUGUUUAGG